rnacentral:rRNA from 1 species
AUUGAACGCUGGCGGCAUGCCUAACACAUGCAAGUCGAACGGAGGUAGGGGCAACUCUACUUCAGUGGCGGACGGGUGAGGAAUGCGUCGGAAUCUACCCUAUGGUGGGGGAUAACACAGGGAAACUUGUGCUAAUACCGCAUGAUGUCGAGAGACCAAAGCAGGGGACCGCAAGGCCUUGCGCGAUAGGAUGAGCCGACGCCCGAUUAGCUAGUUGGUAGGGUAAAGGCCUACCAAGGCGACGAUCGGUAGCUGGUCUGAGAGGAUGAUCAGCCACACUGGGACUGAGACACGGCCCAGACUCCUACGGGAGGCAGCAGUGGGGAAUAUUGGACAAUGGGCGCAAGCCUGAUCCAGCAAUGCCGCGUGUGUGAAGAAGGCCUGCGGGUUGUAAAGCACUUUUGUUCGGGAAGAAACGGAUCGGUUAAUACCCGGUUCGGAUGACGGUACCGAAAGAAUAAGCACCGGCUAACUUCGUGCCAGCAGCCGCGGUAAAGUAUCG